rnacentral:rRNA from 1 species
CAGUUGAUCCGUGCCGGAGCUAACGCGUUAAAUAUGCCGCCUGGGGAGUACAGUCGCAAGGCUGAAACUCAAAGGAAUUGACGGGGGCCCGCACAAGCGGUGGAGCAUGUGGUUCAAUUCGACGCAACGCGAAGAACCUUACCUGGGCUCGAACGGCUGGUUACCGGCGGUGGAAACAUCGCUACCCCGCAAGGGGGUCCAGUCGAGGUGCUGCAUGGCUGUCGUCAGCUCGUGUCGUGAGAUGUUGGGUUAAGUCCCGCAACGAGCGCAACCCUUGUCCUGUGUUGCCAUCAUUCAGUUGGGAACUCGCAGGAGACCGCCAGCGAUAAGCUGGAGGAAGGUGGGGAUGACGUCAAGUCCUCAUGGCCUUUAUGUCCAGGGCUACACACGUGCUACAAUGGGCGGUACAAAGCGCAGCAAACCCGCGAGGGGGAGCCAAUCGCAAAAAACCGUUCUCAGUUCGGAUUGCAGGCUGCAACUCGCCUGCAUGAAGCUGGAAUCGCUAGUAAUGGCAGAUCAGCACGCUGCCGUGAAUACGUUCCCGGGCCUUGUACACACCGCCCGUC